ACUCGGAUCUGGAGGUUUUUCU
rnacentral:miRNA from 1 species